rnacentral:rRNA from 1 species
AUACGUAGGGGGCGAGCGUUGUCCGGAUUUAUUGGGCGUAAAGGGUGCGUAGGCGGCCUUGUAAGUCAGAUGUGAAAGAUCAUGGCUUAACGGUGGUAAGCAUUUGAAACUGCAGGGCUUGAGUACAGGAGAGGAGAGUGGAAUUCCAAGUGUAGCGGUGAAAUGCGUAGAUAUUAGGAGGAAUAACUGUGGCGAAGGCGACUCUCUGGACUGAUACUGACGCUGAGGCACGAAAGCGUGGGGAGCAAACAGGAUUAGAUACCCUGGUAGUCCACGCUAUAAACGAUGAGUGCUAGGUGUCGGGGGUCAAACCUCGGUGCCGCAGUUAACACAUUAAGCACUCCGCCUGGGGAGUACGGCCGCAAGGCUGAAACUUAAAGGAAUUGACGGGG